rnacentral:rRNA from 1 species
GAUGAACGCUGACAGAAUGCUUAACACAUGCAAGUCAACUUGAAUUUGGGUUUUUAACUUAGAUUUGGGUGGCGGACGGGUGAGUAACGCGUAAAGAACUUGCCUCACAGUUAGGGACAACAUUUAGAAAUGAAUGCUAAUACCUGAUAUUAUGAUUUUAAGGCAUCUUAGAAUUAUGAAAGCUAUAAGCACUGUGAGAGAGCUUUGCGUCCCAUUAGCUAGUUGGAGAGGUAACAGCUCACCAAGGCGAUGAUGGGUAGCCGGCCUGAGAGGGUGAACGGCCACAAGGGGACUGAGACACGGCCCUUACUCCUACGGGAGGCAGCAGUGGGGAAUAUUGGACAAUGGACCGAGAGUCUGAUCCAGCAAUUCUGUGUGCACGAUGAAGUUUUUCGGAACGUAAAGUGCUUUCAGUUGGGAAGAAAGAAAUGACGGUACCAACAGAAUUAUGUGACGGCUAUAUACGUGCCAGCAGGCGCGGUUAUACGUAUGUCUCGUGUCGUUAUCCGGAUUUAUUGUGUUGUAAAGCGCUUCUAGGUGGUUUAUGUUAUGUCUGAUGUGAAAAUGCAGGGCUUGACUCUGUAUUGUGUUUGGAAACUGUGUUACUUUAUUUCUGCAGAGGUGUGCUGGAACUACAAGUGGUAGAUGUUGAGAUUCUAUAUAUUUGGUGGAAUGCCGAUGGAGGAAGCCAGCUUACUGUAUGAUAGUGGAUGCUAUGUCGGAUGUGUGGUGUGUAAAUACG